ensembl:lncRNA
GGGGUAUAUCUGUGUCCGGAGGGGUCUAUGGGGGAUCUAUAGGGGAUAUAUAGGGCUUGGGGGGGGAUUGGGGGUCUCUCUGUGUCCGGAGGGGUCUAUGGGGGAUCUGUAGGGGAUGGGAGGGGGUCGGGGGGGGGGGGGGGGAUUGGGGUAUAUCUGUGUCUGGAGGGGUCUAUGGGGGAUCUAUAGGGUUUGGGGGGGGGGAUUGGGGGUAUAUCUGUGUCCGGAGGGGUCUAUGGGGGAUCUGUAGGGGAUGGGAGGGUAUAUAGGGGAUAUAUGGGGGUUAUGGGGGGGGGGAUUGGGGGGGUAUUUAUGGGGUAUAGGGGGAAAUGUGGUUAUUUGGGGGCAUCUGGAGGGGUAUUUAUGGGGUAUAGGGGGAAAUGUGGUUAUUUGGGGGCAUCUGGAGGGGUAUUUAUGGGGUAUAGGGGGAAAUGUGGUUAUUUGGGGGCAUCUGGAGGGGGGUACUUAUGGGGUAUAGGGAGAAAUAUGGUUAUUUGGAGGGGUACAUAUGGGGUAUAGGGGGAAAUGUGGUUAUUUGGGGGCAUCUGGAGGGGUACAUAUGGGGUAUAGGGGGAAAUGUGGUUAUUUGGGGCAUCUGGAGGGGUAUUAAUGGGGUAUAGGGGGAAAUACGUUUAUCUGGGGGGGUUAUAUAGGGGUCUGGGGGGUAUUGGGUGGGGAUGCCUGGAGGGAUCUAUGGGGGGGGGGUGGGAAUAGAUCCUAUAGGGUAUGCUAUAGGGCCCGGCCCCUCUCGAGGCAGCGCUGCCCCAUGCGUUCCUCCCCCCCGGGGUCGGGCCCCAGAGUGAGGAGGGGGCAAACCUACGGCCGGCGGCUCUUAUUCCCCCCCCACCCCCCCCAAAAUUGGAGCCGUCGGUAUACAGCAGCCCCCACAAACCCUAUAGGGGAAGGAGCAGCUCCUGUGGAUCCUAUAGACCCCCCCCCCCCCCCCCAUUAUAAGGGUUGGGGUGAAGGAGAAGGAAUGGCUGUGGUGGAGGCGUUGGGACAACGGGACGGUGGCGGAGUGGUGAGACGUGGGUAGGAUGGGGGCGUCAAUGGGGGGACAGUGGUGGCAGUGGAAGGGAUGGGGACAAAAUGGAGUCAAUGGAGAUGAAUGGAGGAGAGAACGGUGGCAUGGAAAUGAAUGGGGGACAAAGUGGUGACAUUGGAAUGAAUGGGGGGCAAAAUGGCAUUGGAAUGGAUGAAUGGGGGACAAAAUGGAGUCAAUGGAGAUGAAUGGGGGGCAAAAUGGUGGCAUUGAAACGAAUGGGGGACAAAAUGGAGUCAAUGGAAAUGAAUGGGGGACAAAAUGGUGGCGUUGGAAUGAAUGGGGGACAAAAUGGAGUCAAUGGAGAUGAAUGGGGGGCAAAAUGGUGGCAGUGGAGAUGAAUGGGGGACAAAAUGGAGUCAAUGGAGAUGAAUGGGGGGCAAAAUGGUGGCAUUGAAAUGAAUGGGGGACAAAAUGGUGGCAGUGGAAAUGAAUGGGGGACGAAAUGGAAUCAGUGGAGAUGAAUGGGGGGCAAAACAGAGUCAAUGGAGAUGAAUGGAGGAGAAAAUGGCAUCAAUGGAAAUGAAUGGGGGACAAAAUGGUGGCAUUGAAAUGAACGGGGGGCAAAACAGAGUCAAUGGAGAUGAAUGGAGGAGAAAAUGGCGUCAAUGGAAAUGAAUGGGGGACAAAAUGGCAUUGGAAUGAAUGAAUGGGGGACAAAAUGGAGUCAGUGGAAAUGAAUGGGGGACAAAAUGGCAGCAUUGGAAUGAAUGGGGGACAAAAUGGCAUUGGAAUGAAUGAAUGGGGGACAAAAUGGAGUCAAUGGAGAUGAAUGGGGGACAAAAUGGUGGCAUUGAAAUGAACGGGGGGCAAAACAGAGUCAAUGGAGAUGAAUGGAGGAGAAAAUGGCGUCAAUGGAAAUGAAUGGGGGACAAAAUGGCAUUGGAAUGAAUGAAUGGGGGACAAAAUGGAGUCAGUGGAAAUGAAUGGGGGACAAAAUGGCGGCAUUGGAAUGAAUGGGGGACAAAAUGGCAUUGGAAUGAAUGAAUGGGGGGCGAAAUGGAGCCAAUGGAGAUGAAUGGGGGACAAAAUGGCGGCCCCAAAAUGGCGGCCCCGCAGUGGUGGCCCAAUGGUGGCGCUGCAGUGGGGUGGGGGUGGCAAUAAAGACUUUUCACCCCCCCAAAAAUGGCUCUUUUUAACCUUUUUUUUUUUACCCCCAUUCUCAAUGGAGGUUUUUGGACCCUCCCCCCCCCCCCCCCCCCAAAAUCCCAUUCCUCCCCCCCCGGAUUUCCCCAUUAUCCCCACAAAUCUUCUGUGCCCCCCCCCAAAAAUGAAUGGUUUCCCCUUUAGAGCUCUUUUUUAUGGGGGAUAUUGGGUUAUUUGGGGGGGAAAUUGGGUUAUUUGGGGGAAAUUGGGUUAUUUUGGGGGGAAAUGGGGUUAUUUGGGGGGGAAAUAUGGGUUAUUUGGGGGGGAAAGAGGAAAUUUGGG